rnacentral:sRNA from 1 species
GUCGUCCACGACGACCACCAAUGAUCCUGCAGCCUGAGAGGAUCGCCUUCGGGUGGCUGUAAAAACACUCCUGCAGCCUGAAAGGGAGAACACAUCAGUGUGGUACAUCUGCCCGCCCCUGGAAGCAGAUAUCGU